GGGACGAACGCUGGCGGCGUGCUUAACACAUGCAAGUCGAGCGAGGCCCGUCCUUCGGGACGGUGCCCUAGCGGCGAACGGGUGAGUAACACGUGGGCAACCUGCCCCUAGCACUGGGAUAACUCCGGGAAACCGGGGCUAAUACCGGAUAUGACCUUUGAGGGCAUCCUCGAAGGUGUAAAGGAUUCUGGCUAGGGAUGGGCCCGCGGCCUAUCAGCUUGGUUGGUGGGGUAACGGCCUACCAAGGCGACGACGGGUAG
rnacentral:rRNA from 1 species